UACAGAGGUCCCAAGCGUUGUUCGGAUUUACUGGGCGUAAAGGGUGCGUAGGCGGUCGGAUAAGUUUGAUGUGAAAGCUCGGAGCCUAACUCCGAAACGGCAUUGAAUACUAUUCGGCUAGAGGUUGGGAUGGGGGACUGGAAUUCUCGGUGUAGCAGUGAAAUGCGUAGAUAUCGAGAGGAACACCAGUGGCGAAGGCGAGUCCCUGGACCAAUCCUGACGCUGAGGCACGAAAGCCAGGGGAGCAAACGGG
rnacentral:rRNA from 1 species